rnacentral:rRNA from 1 species
AGCGAACGCUGGCGGCAUGCUUAACACAUGCAAGUCGCACGGGCAGCAAUGUCAGUGGCGGACGGGUGAGUAACGCGUAGGAACAUGUCCAGUGGUGGGGGAUAACGUUGGGAAACUGACGCUAAUACCGCAUGAGCCCUGAGGGGGAAAGCAGCGAUGCGCCGAUGGAGUGGCCUGCGUAGGAUUAGCUUGUUGGUGGGGUAAUGGCCUACCAAGGCUACGAUCCUUAGCUGGUCUGAGAGGACGAUCAGCCACAUUGGGACUGAGACACGGCCCAAACUCCUACGGGAGGCAGCAGUGGGGAAUAUUGGACAAUGGGGGGCAACCCUGAUCCAGCAAUGCCGCGUGUGUGAAGAAGGUCUUUCGGAUUGUAAAGCACUUUCGACGGGGACGAUGAUGACGGUACCCGUAGAAGAAGCCCCGGCUAACUUCGUGCCAGCAGCCGCGGUAAU